CUCUUAUCCAGAGAGGCAGAGGGACUGGCCCGAUGAAGCCCGGCAACCAUUAAGCAAUGCUUAAUAAGGUGCUAACUCCAGCAGAAUAGCUACUAUUCUGAGAGAUAAGGG
rnacentral:ncRNA from 2 species